rnacentral:rRNA from 1 species
AGGGUUCGAUUCUGGCUCAGGACGAACGCUGGCGGCGUGCCUAACACAUGCAAGUCGAGCGAGAAUUUCUGAAAUGAAUUCUUCGGAAGGAAUUUUGGGAAGGAAAGCGGCGGACGGGUGAGUAACGCGUGAGUAACCUGCCUAUCAGAGGGGGACAACAUUUCGAAAGGAAUGCUAAUACCGCAUGAAAUUGUAUUAUCGCAUGAUAGAACAAUCAAAGAUUUAUCGCUGAUAGAUGGACUCGCGUCUGAUUAGAUAGUUGGUGGGGUGAAGGCCUACCAAGUCGACGAUCAGUAGCCGAACUGAGAGGUUGAUCGGCCACAUUGGGACUGAGACACGGCCCAG